UGGGGAAUAUUGGACAAUGGGCGAAAGCCUGAUCCAGCCAUGCCGCGUGUGUGAAGAAGGUCUUCGGAUUGUAAAGCACUUUAAGUUGGGAGGAGGGGCAGUAAGCGAAUACCUUGCUGUUUUGACGUUACCGACAGAAUAAGCACCGGCUAACUCUGUGCCAGCAGCCGCGGUAAUACAGAGGGUGCAAGCGUUAAUCGGAAUUACUGGGCGUAAAGCGCGCGUAGGUGGUUCGUUAAGUUGAAUGUGAAAGCCCCGGGCUCAACCUGGGAACUGCAUCCAAAACUGGCGAGCUAGAGUAGGGCAGAGGGUGGUGGAAUUUCCUGUGUAGCGGUGAAAUGCGUAGAUAUAGGGAGGAACACCAGUGGCGAAGGCGACCACCUGGGCUCAUACUGACACUGAGGUGCGAAAGCGUGGGGAGCAAACAGG
rnacentral:rRNA from 1 species